CGGUAAUCGUUCGUUUUUCAAACUUUCGUUUUCAUUGGAAACUCUGCGGCCGGUCUUCUGACGCUGCGUUUUGCUCAUUCCCUCCAGUAUUAUCUGGGACAUUGUGAGCCACUGCCUGCAUGAAGAGGAUUUUACUGACCUUCCUUGCCCUUUUCUCAGAAGCAGAUGGCAGUGCUGUUCCAAGUGCAUAGGAUUCUCUAUCCUUUGACAUCAUUUUUCAAUGCUGGAAUUUGUGUGCCUGCUUUUGGCAGUCUUGAGUCUUUCCUGCCCUGCCAUUUCACAAACUGUGAUCAAUGGAGUCCUCCAUUCUGAUGUACUGCUGCCUUUUGUUUUUACUAAAAAUGGGAAGUCGAUAGACCUAAAGUUCACCAGUGUAAUCUGGAAAAAAAAUAAUAAGGAGCUGGUGAGGUAUGAAUCGGAGAAAAUAAAAGUGGCCACAAGGGGGGAGCUGUCUGAAGCGGCGCUACGGCACGGUAACGCCUCCCUCGUCCUUUUGCAAGUCCUUAUUGAAGAUGAAGGGGACUAUGAAAGUGAGGCGAACUAUGCUUCAGAGCACUAGAAGAAAAGCCUCAGGCUCAAUGUUAUAGCUUCUCCAAAAGUCUCUGUAAAGUCUCUGGUGGUGAUGAAUGUGGUGAGCAUACUGGAGUGUCAUGUGGACAACUUCUAUCCAAAAGAGAUUUCCAUAGAGUGGCUUAGAGCUUCCCAGCCUCUUCCUUCUCAAGAUAACCCACAGCUGGAGCGCAAUCCUGAUGGCACCUUCAGCGCAGUAAGCAGUUAUCACUACACCCCGACUCCCGAAGAUAGUGGUGUGGCCUUCAGCUGCAGAGUGAGGCAGGAAUAUCAGGAGAGGCCACUGGAGGAGACCUUUCAUCUGCAAUUCCGCAAGCGAGCUUCUGUGAAGUUGACUUCCAUCAAUUUGCCACAGAGUCAGAAGCUGAUCUCUUGUGAUGUUGAAGACUUCUAUUCAGCAGAUGCUGAAGUGAUCUGGAAGAAAAAUGGACAUCCCGUUGACAGUACAGAGCAAAGGAAGGAUGGCAACUUCGAAAAAAGAAUAUACCAUAAGCUAGACGCUACUGAGAUGAAAAAUGAGUACAUGUGUGAAGUGAGUCAGGAAGGAUUCAAUGACGUGCUGACAGAGAACAGAUUCACACAGAAAGACGAGUGUGAAUGUACAACGCAGACAAUUGUCCUGACAGUAAUUGGGGUCCUGUUUGCUGAAGUUGUCCUGGGGCUGUUGUGCUACUUUAUUUAUUUAAUGAAGAGUACAAUAGAUGCUGUUGCCCUUAAAGUACAGGAGCUGGAGCAAACUGGAAACUGAACUGGCAAAACUCAGAGUGUCACCAUCGCAGAUCAACAGAUUUACUGCCUCUGAGAGGGUCUUUAGAACCAUUUGGCCUGCAAUUGAUCCAUCUGCUGCCAAUAUAAAGUAGUAUAUUGGUCAGAAUGAACUGAACGGCAAACAACUCCAAGCCCAAACCGCAAGCUGCAGCUCACUGAUGAGUUUUUUCAUAUUGUUGUCAGGUUGCAUCAGGAUUGAAAGAGAAGCUGCUGGCAAACAUUUUUCAAAUAAGUACAUCUACUGUUAGCCACAUUAUAAUCACAUGGGCCAAUUCCCUUUACCUUAUCCUGAGAUCAGUGCCAAUUUGGAAGACUAGACAGUAGGUGCAAGCUGCAAUGCCCACCACAUCUCUACAAUUUGAACAGAGUGAGGGUGCUAGAUAGAGUGUACAGAGCUAAGAUGUCAGAGUCCAACAGCACUCUUGCUACAGUCUGAGGUGUUCUCUUCGUACAAGAACGCCAUCACCUUCAAAGAACAGAUUGGAGUUUCAUCAUGUGGGGCUACAGUGUCACCUUAGUUUCUAAGCACUACAGAGAAUCACUUUCUGACAAAGAGAUACAGGUAAAAUUCCAUUACAAAGGCCUUCCAGGUACCUGAUAAAUAUUUCAUUAUAAUGAAAAUCUCG